UCUUCUCCAAAAUUAACGAGGCAUGAAAAUCAUGGAUUCAACUUUGCAACGUUAAUCAUUGUUGUUGUCGUGUCAGGUAAAAUGUUCUUGUUUAACGAUUCUAUUUAUUUUUUGUUGUUAUUGUUGUUCUUGUUUUUUUGUUGUUGUCGUUCUUCUUGUUCUUGUUCUUGUUCUUAUUGCUGUUCUUGUUGUUGUUAUUGUUAUUAUUAUGUUUCUUAUCAGUGUUCUUGUUAUUCUUGUUUUUCUUGUUGUUCUUGUUCUUGUUGUUAUUAUUGUUGU
rnacentral:lncRNA from 1 species